rnacentral:lncRNA from 1 species
UUUUUUUGCAACCUUGUGGUAGGUUGCUUAGAAGGGGCCUCAGGAGUGACCACUGGCUUUCUAAUCUUGAAGCGAGCACUGAGAACCACAUCAUCCUGAUCAUCCUCAUCACAAGGUCUCACAACAGGAGAGAUAGACUCCAACGGCUCAGCGUCAAAGUGAGGAGAUGGAGCAGGGUCAAAGCUGACCUGGGAAGAUGAUUCCUGACCUGUUUCCUCAGGGAGGGGAUCAGGUUCAUCAGUAGGGUUCCCAGUAACUACUUCAGGUGCAGGUGGUUCAAAGGGCACCAUUGUUCCUUUUUCUCCUAAGAGCGGAGUCCCUUCCCCCUGAGACUCAGGCAUGGUAGAAGGUCAUUCAUUCACCAGUCCCUCAGCAGCAAUGGCCAAUAUGUUUUCAGCNNNNNNNNNNNNNNNNNNNNNNNNNUGUUCUGAAACGGCAGUAGGUUUAUGGGAAUAUGCACCAUUGCAAAGGGAAGUGAAAAGAUUUGAAAAAAAAGACGUGAUAUACAAGGUCUGAAAAGGUGGAUUAUGUGGCAGUUAAUUUUGUUUCUUUUGAGAUACGCAUGAGAAAAACACAAGACUACCAACCUGUGGUACAAGAACUGGGUUCCUGACCGGUCUUUUUUAAGAUUUUCAACUCUCUUUUGUUGCUCAUGCAUUGUUCCUUGAGCUUCUCUAAUCAUCAUAUGUGUCUACCUGCAACGGUAUAGAAGUGAGUUAAGCUUGGCUAGAAAACACUUUAGCUAUAUUUACAUGAAUGUAAUUUUCAUAGCCAUAGGGAAGGGAAUCAGGUUCUCAAUUUGGCUUGAUUAACCCUAGUGCCAUCCUGUUUCUCUCAAAAUGUUCCCUGCUUAGUGCUUUGGUGAAGAUAUCUGCAAUUUGGUCUUCUAUACUAUAGAACUUCAUGAAAAUAAACCCCUUCUCCAUGUUGUCUCUGAGAAAAUGAUGUCUCAUAUCAAUGUGCUUGGUUCUCUUGUGUUGGACCGGGUUCUUUGCCAUGUUGAGUGUACUGGUGUUGUCACAUAACAGAGGUACACAGUCAGUGUAUACCCCAAAAUCCUCCAAUUAUUGUUUGAUCGACAAGAGCUGAGCACAGCAGGACGAUGCAACAACAUCUUCUACUUCAGCUGUUGAGAGAGCUACUGAAUUUUGCUUCCUUGUACCCCAUGAAAUCAGACAGGAUCCUAGGAAAUGAGCCAUUCCAGACGUGCUCAUCCUGUCCACAAGGUAACCUGCAUAGUCAGUGUCAGCAUAAUCAACAAGAUUAAAGUUGUCACCUGAAAGGUAAUACAGAAACAGAACCUGUGUUCCCUUAAGAUAUCUCAAAAUCCUUUUAGCAGCUUUUAGAUGAGAUUCCUUGGGAUUUUAUUGAAACGUUUCACAUAAACCCACAUUGAAUACAAUAUUUGGCCUGCUGGCAGUGAGGUAGAGGAGUGAUCCAAUAAUGCCUCGAUACAUUGUUUGAUUUACAAGAGAGCCAGAUUCAUCCAUGUUUAGCUUAGCGGCAGUGGCAAUGGGGGUGUCAAUCACCUUUGAUGUUUCCAUAUCAAACCUCUUCAAAAGCUCCUUGAUAUAUUUCUUCUGACUAAUACAAGUUCCCUUCGUGGACUACUUCACUUGAAGACCCAAGAAAAAGUUUAGCUCCCCCAUCAUGCUCAUCUCAAACUCACUUCCCAUGAGUUUUGCAAAUUCCUCACAGAGUGAGUCAGCUAUUGCCCUAAAGAUAAUAUCAUCAACAUAUACCUGAACAAUGAGCAGGUUCCUUCCUCGUUUCUUCAGAAAUAGAGUGUUGUCAAUUUUUCCUCUUGUAAAGCCAUUUUCUAAGAGAAACUUUGACAACCUUUCAUACCAAGCUCGAGGAGCCUGCUUCAAACCAUACAGUGCCUUGUCCAAUUUGAACACAUAUUCAGGAUGUUUAUGACAUUCAAAACCUGGAGGUUGCUUAACACAGACUUCUUCCAUUAGAAAACCAUUCAUAAAUGCACUUUUGACAUCCAUUUGGAACAAUGUGAAUUCCAUAUGUGAUGCAAAGGCAAUGAGAAUUCUGAUGGCUUUCAUACGAGCAACUGGAGCGAAAGUCUCAUCAUAUCUGCCUUUUCAUUUUCCAUGUCAGUGAUCUCUCCUGGAACCAGCAGUGGCUCACUGGCUUGAUCAUCCUUGUUGCUCUUCUCACCAGAUGGAAGUGUCUCGUUGAAGAUUACAUGAACAUUUUCUUCCACAUACUGAGUCCUUUUAUUGUAAACCUUGUAAGCUUUGUUUUGAGAGGAAUACCCCAGAAAAAUUCCUUCAUCACUUUUGGCGUCAAAUUUUCCAAGCUGAUCCUUCCUAUUGUCGAGAACAUAGCAUUUGCACCCAAACGUUCUUAGGUGAGUCAGCUUGGGCUUCCUUCUAUUGAGCAGUUCAUAAGGAGUUUGGUUCAGGAAGAAUCUGAUCAUGUACCUGUUCACCAAGUAGCAGGCUGUAUUUAUGGCUUCUGCCCACAAGUUUUUGGCUAUCCCACUAUCAAUAAGCAUUGUUCUAGCCAUAUCUUCAAGGGUUCUGUUCUUCCUUUCUAUAACUCCAUUUUGCUGUGGAGUUCUUGGAGCUGAGAAGUUGUGGGUGAUGCCAUUUUCACUGCAGAAUUCAUCAAACAUGGCAUUGUCAAAUUCUAUUCCAUGAUCGGAUCUGAUGCAAGCCACUUUUGAUUCCAUCUUCACUUGGAUUUUCUUGACAAAGGCUACAAACACUUCGAAGGUCUCAUCCUUGGUUCUGAGAAACAGGGUCCAAGUGAAUCUUGAGUAGUCAUCUACUAUCACAAAAAUAUAUCUUUUUCCUCCUCUGUUUGGCACUCUCAUAGGGCCACAUAGAUCCAUAUGAAAGAGUUCAAGUGGCUUUGAUGUGCUGACAUCCUUCUUUGGCUUGAAUGAGGAUUUCACAUGCUUUCCUCUAACACAUGCAUCACACACUAUGUGCUCCUUGAAUUUUGAAUUUGGCAAUCCACGAACCAGGUCCUUCUAUAUCAGCUUGUUCAGAAGAGAGAAGCUUGCAUGUCCCAGCCUUCUGUGCCAUAACUCUGCAUCAUCAUCAACUGCUUUCAAGCAGCUCAUAUCACCACUUUGUAGGGACUCGAAAUCAGCAACGCAGAUGUUCUUGUAUCUUUUGGCCACUAGUACCACUUCACCAAUUACCAUAUUGGUAACUAUGCACACCUUUGACAGGAACUCCACCUUGUUUCCUUUAUCACAGAUUUGAGAAACACUCAAGAGACUAUACUUCAGGCCAUUUACAUAGUACACAUUCUUAAUUGAGUGUGAGAGAGACUUUCCAACUUUUCCAACACCAAGAAUGUACCCCUUUUUCCCAUUUCCAAAGGAUACAUUCCCUCCUUGCAGGGAUUUUAGUGAAAGGAAGUCCAUGGUAUUCCCAGUCAUAUGCUUGGAGCAUCCAUUGUCCAUAAUCCAUUGUUGACUGCUUCCUUUCACUGUUCCCUGCACAGAUAAAUCAAGGGUUAGAUUUGGAAACCCAAACAAGUUUGGGUCCCUUGUAAUGAGAAAAGGGAUGAAUGAGAGCUCUUCUAGUCCAUGCAGGCAACAUGCGUUUUUUGUGAGCGACACCUGGUCCUCUUCCAGUGGUUACAUUUUCAGCAAAAACUUUGUUUUUCUGAACAGACUCGACUCUGGCUUGACAAUUUUUCUUGAAAUGCCCAUUGUUCCCACAGUGGGUACAAAGCCAGUUAUGAGGUACAAUGACGUACUUGCUAUGAGGGUUAUAAGGAACUUUCUCCCUUUGGAACUGUAUUCCCUGCCUGUUUCCACCAUUAUUAAAGUACAUGGCAGUAAUAGCAUCUGAGGACCAGGUCCACUUAAGAGAUUUUUCAAGAUCAUUUUUUUCUUUCUCCAAUUCUGUAUGAAGCUGCCUAUUUUUCUCAAGAUCAGCACACAGACUAGUUUUUACAUUAUUCAGCUCAUUUUCAAAUUUAAUAUGUGUCUCACUAGCUACUUCCUUCCCUUUUUCAGAAUUUCUAGGCCUACAUUCUGCUUUAAGUCCCUCAGUUAUUUCCUCUAGGUCUAUGAUUGCCACUAAGAGAUCAUCUCUUUCUUGCUCAGUAAUGGCAACUUUCUCCACUAACGCAUUCUUUUCCUUACUCAAGCUCUCUGUAGUUUCUUUCAAGUCAACUACAAUUACCAUUAAAUCAUCUCUUUCAUGUUCUACACUAGCAAUUUUCUCUGUUAGAACCUCUUUCUCAUUUUUUUAGAUUUUCUAUAGUUUCCUUCAGGUCAACUACACAAACCACCAAGUCAUCUCUAGUCUGCUCAGCAUCUCCUAACUCUAUGGUCAAGUUAUCUUUAUCACUCACAAGACUAUGAUAUGCAUCAAUCAAGACAUUAGCUAAUGACAUGAGUUUCUUGGGAGAGUAGGAUUUUCUAUUCCUCUGAACAUCCCUAAAGUUUACCUCAUCAUUGUCAUCAUCUUCAUCAUCGUGUGACUGAGCCAUCAAAGCAAAUAUUGAGUCAUAUUCAUUUGCUUCAUUUUCAAUUGCCAUCAUGGAACUAUCACCUGCAUCAUUUUCUUUUUCUGAUUCACUGGAGGAGUCUCCCCAUGCUGCAAGAGCUUGCUUCACAACAUUGUCAUCUACGUUUUUCCUUUUGAAGCGUUUGUCAGGAACCGAGUUCCUCUUAGCUGCUUUAUCAGAGUUGUGCUUGAAAUGCUCUUGCUUCAGAAUAGGACAGUCCUUGAUCAAAUGCCCUAGCUUUCCACACUUAUGGCAGAGGUCAUAAUUCUUUGGUUUGCUGGAACUGCCUCUCUUUGGUAUACCUCCAUUUCUUCGAACCAUUUUCUAAAACCUUCUGGUAAGGUAUGCCAUGUCACUAUCCUUCUCACUCGAAUCAUUGUUUUCAGCUUUGAGUGCCAGUGUCUUCUCUUUCUUUGGUUCUCUUCUUUCACUGUCUUUCUUUUUCUUCAUCUCGUAGGUUUUCAGAUUCCCAACUAGCUUGUCCAUAGUCAAUGUCUGCAGAUCCUUGGCUUUAGUGAUAGCAUUCACCUUACUUUCCCGGGAGCUGGGUAAAACGCUAAGAACUUUCCUCACGAGCUUGUUCCUAGGAAUGAUUUCUCCAAGAGAGUGUAGCUCAUUUAUAAUGGAAGUGAAUCGAGUAUGCAUGUCUUGAAUGGAUUCAUCAUCCUCAUACUUAGUGGUGAGCAUAUCGAUCUUGGACUGCUUUAAUUGAGUAGUUCCUUCAUGUGCCGUUUGUAAAGCUUCCCAUAUCUCCUUGGCAGAUUGACAGGCUGAAAUCCUAUUAUAUUCAUCAGGUCCUAUACCACACACCAAAAUAUUUUUGGCGCGAAAGUUCUUCUCUACAGCUUUUCUGUCAACGUCAUUGUACUCCUUCCUAUUUUUCGGCACCGUUACAACAUGUUCUUCUUCCUUCUUUGUUGGGACAUAUGGACUAUCACAAAUAACAUCCCAUAACUCGGAGUCUUCUACCAUUAUGAAGUCAUGCAUUCGAGUCUUCCACCAUCCAUAGUAUUGGCCGUUGAAUCUUGGGGGCCUAUAAGUUGAUUGUCCUUCCUCGAAGUUUGGUGGAGCAGCCAUGGUGAGGAUCCUCUCUAGGUGUUAACCUUUUAGAAAGAACCUGCUUUGAUACCAAUUGAUAGAAUGUAUGAGUCCACCAAACUGUAUAGAGACCUGGUCCUAUACCAGUUCCCAUAUAAAUAGCUAAUGAACCAGUAAGUAAAUGACACAUUAGAUUUUACUUGGAAAAAUCCUUGCUCAAUGUGAUAAAAAACCACGACCUACACUUGUAGGAUUUUAACUUCACUACUUGAGCAAUCUUUAGAUUACAACCUAUUGUAACUUAGGAAUUAAACUCUUAAUCCCUCACUAACUUGUAAUACACAUAUUACAAGCCACUUUGCAAUACACCUAUUAUAAAGACUUCAACUCAUGACUAACUCUAGUCACGACACAAACUCUAAGGGUUUAUAGUUUUUGGAGGUUCCUAAUUAAGACUUCUAAAUAAGCAAAAUAGGAAUUACAAUGAAGAACUAAUACAAAGAUACAACUCAACUAAGGACAUACAAAAGACUUGUUGUAGGAACUGGUCCGUAGUAGUGUUGUACUUUGUUCUUGAUGCACUUGUGACUUCAAUGCUUGAUUAUCAGAUAUUGAGUGCUUGAAUUAUUUCACAAGUGUUCAAGUGAUGUUUUUUGUUGUAAUGCUUCUUGUUAAUAUCUUUUGAAUGACAUCACUUAGAUGAUGCAAACACUUGGUUGGUAAAAAGCCCUUCCCAAUGGGAAAUGACUGCUGCACUGUUUCUGUAUUGUAGCAUGUACAGUGCAGGCAAUCACUUUCCAUCUGUAGAGUUGACUUCGUACUGCUGUCAGGAAAACUCAAAGGGAUCAGGUCCCUGAGUUGAUUCUUUUCUGUCUGAAGUCAUACAUCACACAUUAGCUUGAGUCCGUUGAUAGAGAUAUAUACCAAGUGUACAUCAGGUCCUUUAUCUGGUUUUUAACAAUAAGUUUGUUAGAUCAUCAAAACAAAAUUCUAAGAUACUUUAAACCCAUCAAUUAAUUUCCAAUAAAAUAUAGAAAAAUUAUAAUUAUCCAAUACACUACUAACUAUUGUAAUUAUUUGUUUAUAAAAUACUUUGUUUUUUAAAUUACAACACUAAUUUUGAAUUAUCAACAUAGUAAUCUAAUUAAUAAAAAUUUGAGAAGUAAUUCGUAAAUUAAUUAUAAAACUUCUCUGAUGUAUUAAAAUAUAUUUUAAUAGUAGUAAAUUUAUAAUUAUAUAAUACUAAUGAUAGGUUAUUAAUUUCAAAGCUAACACUUAAUUAAUUUGUAAAAAUAUGUAAUUAUUGAUAGAAAAAUACUUUCAAACAUUUAUUGUAAAUUAUUAAGUAUAAAUAAAUUAAUUUUAAAAGGGAGGGUCAAAAUUGACCGUCAACAUACAAGACUUAAUCAUUUCGCUUCAACUCACGCACGAGGUAAGUUCUAGACUAACAUGGAAUGACAUAGAGUACAACCAAUUCUGAAUAUAUCCGCCUUCCUGGCUUGGACUUUUCUUGCCCCGGCAUGAGCUUUGAUAAAAGAAUCUGCAAGCAUUUCAAAAGAAUCAAUUGAAUAUUCAGGUAAAAGAGAAUACCACAUUAAGGCUCCUUUGGUUAGGGUUUCACCAGGUUUCUUUAGCAAAACAGAUUCGAUCUCAUGCGAAGCCAAAUGUAAGUCGUGAUGUGCUCUUGUGGAUCCAAAGUUCCAUCAUAUUUUGGAAUAUUCGGCAUCUUAAACCUCUUUGGGAUCAACUCCGGGGCCGCACUUCAUUUGAAUGGCAGCUGAGUAUACUUAUUUAAAUCUGGGCCCUUCAACACCGGAGGUGCCCCCGGAAUCUGAUCCAUCCAAGCGUAGAAUUCUUUAGUGUUUUGAUCCAUCCGAUCAUUCAUUUCCCUCAUUAACAUCAUGAGCUCGAUUUUAAAAGGAUCACAUGUGUUGUUAUAAUUCCCAUAUCCACUACCUGCACCACAUGCUUGGUUAUCAUUAAAUCCAAGCUCCUCCCUCGAAGCGAUAUUUUCGGUUCUUUACGCUGUCGAAUUUGCAAGUAUGCUGGGAGGGGCUCGAACUCCCCCAUUGGAAUUAUUCAAUGCAACUGAUAGUGCUUGUUGGAGCUCAGUCAUUAUUCAAUCCUGUCUUGAGAGAUGAUUCAUGAUUUUACUUUGCUAUGCUCUCAAGAGUUUCACCAUCUCGACAACGGGUUCAUCAUCUAUAUCAUCAGGGGUAGGAUUCUUCGCACACCGAGUAUUUCGUUCUUUCCGAACCAGAGUUGUCUCAUUUCCAUUGAUGCAGGUCUCUCUGGUCGAAUUAUUAUGCUGAUCUCCACCACGAAAAUUAUCCUCACGCUCGUUGUUUGUCCCAACAUUUGAGUGAGUUGUUGACAUCAUUAGGUGCCAUAUCUAUUUUUUCUUUACUAAAGAAAAGCGUCAAAAAAUAUUAGGAAAAUAAAAUGAAUCAAAGUAAUACCACAAUUGUCUAUGCCCCACGGUGGGCGUUAAACUGUUUACCCGUAAAUGGUACAGUUAAAUUUGUAAUGUAGUUUAUAGACACGUGCAUUAAAUUAAUCCGAAAAGUAAUAAAGAUCAAAAGUAAAUUAAUUAAGAAUACUUGAAGAAGAUACAAGCCUGGCUUUGAAUUGAGCUUCUCCGGAAGCAAGAACAAGGACAAAGUAUUUAGCAAAAUGAUGUUAAAUAGAAUAAGAAAGUAGAAUCAACCUUUAUUCGUACAAAUUUUUUGUGCCCUUACAAUGAGUACAAAUUCCUCUAUUUAUAGCUAAAUUAAGGGAUACAAGAUUCCCAAAUAAAGAUCCUCUUUAAUGUGAAUAAAGAUCCCUCUUGAUAGUUGCAUAAUGGUUGAGUGUAAAUACUAAGAUUCUUUGUAACGGCUACUCUUUUAAUAUUGUCUUCUUUAGCCGGUAUUUUACUUUUAAAUUCAUCUUUCUGGUCUUGAUGUUACCGGGACUCAUACAACACUGGCCACAUACUUGGGUCCGCGUCAGUUAUUUGUUGACUCAUCUCCUACAUGUCUUUACUUCCACGUGUUCACUUGACGAACACCCACAUGCCAUUUGCUAAUUUUGCCCUAUACAAAUAUUAACCUAGAUACUUCCUAUCGAUUAGAAAAGUGAUGAAGACUGAGUGACUCAAUACAUCUUUGGGAGUUAGUUUCGUUCAUAUAACAUUAUUUGGUUUGUUGAAAAGUAAAGAAGAUGAGCUAAAACUCAAUUAAAAGCCAUAGAAGCUUGCUUAAGCUUGAGUUUGAAAAUUCGAGUUUCCAAAAUUUAAUAUUUUUGAGUGUGUUAUUGAAAUAGAUCAAGUACUACAUAUUAAAGAGUUUGAAUCUCAAUUUUGAGAUGGCGUGGCAGAAAUUGGUGGUUUGAAUUAAAAAUUCGAAGUAGACGAUGAACAUUGAAGAAGUCGAGAUGUGUAUUCCCUAUAUAUCCUCGAUGUAUCCAUGUGUAUCCCAUGUGUAUCUCAUGUAUAUUUGUGUAUGCCUGGAUAUAUUUUCCGUAGAGAAAAUAUUUAACUCGAUUUUCAACUACGAAUUGUGACUCCAAACUAGCUCAAAUCACCUUCAAUCUCCCUAUCUCGUCUCUAUAUUUUCAAUGGAUUUCAACAAUAUCUAUUGAGAAAAAUCUUUUUUUUCUAGGUAUUUUGAAUGUUAUAUAUCAUUUGGAAAAAAUUAAUUAAAUGAUUAAAAUGUCUAAGUAAUUGUAAACUUUUUAUUAUUUUGGUACAUUCCUAUAAUUCCACCCAUGCAUUGGGCCUAAGACAUUUAUGAACACAUUAAAUGGGCCUUAUUGAAAUAAACAACCCUAAUUUUGUCACAGUCCAAAGGAUGAACUGAUAUGUUUGUGCAGUUGAAGGUGUUGGUUUUCAUUUUUGAAAAAAAAAACCAUUAUCGAGAGUAUUGAGAAGGAGAAAAUUAAAGGGGCAGUGCAUUCGAACUUAAAAUUAGUGGUUUCAAAUUUUUGUUUGAUUUUUUUUUUUUAUCACUUUUAUAUAUUUAUUAAAAUUAAUACAGGUUUAACGGCCUCGAAUUUCUUUGACUAGUAAUUGUUUAAUCCCUUUCCAAUUCUUUUUGAUUGGGGUUGGAGAGCGAGCGAUGAAGGAUUUUACCAUUGGAGAUAUUUCUUUUCACCAAUAAACGAUAAUUAUAUCACUAAUUAUAUCACUAAUAUGUUUUAAGUACAUUUUAUUUUAAUGCCCUAAAAAGGCUAAAAUACGCAAGUUUCCCCCGCCGUUUAUAUAGAGGCAGCGAAAGCAGUGAAAUUUGAAGAGCAAGAAAGAAAAGGAGACUAUAGAGAGUAUGGCUAUGGCAGUUAGACGCCUGAAAGAAGCUUAUAGGCUUCUCCCUCUCAUUUCUCCUGGUAUUUUACUUGUUCAACAUUUGGCUAAUGUUUUAUUUACUCUUAUCCUUAUUAAUAGGAAUUUCUGAUUUUUGGACCCAGGAAACAGGUGUAAACUACUCGUAAAGGAGAGCAAUUUGCUGCCGCCUCUUUUGAAUUAUUCAUGUGCAGACAUUAAUACAAAGUGUGGAUACAGAUUUCAUCAGGAUCAGAGGUAACAAUUUCUAUUUGCCAAUUUGAAAUUUCUUUUAUGAAAUAAUGUUUCCACUAGAAACCGUGUUCGUGAUUUGUAUAUUUGAAGGCAACUGCAUUUACUUUUUUUAUUUUGAAGUUUUACCUAUUAAUUUUAUAUUUUUUGUUUUUAUUGCUCCAUGUAGUGGUUUGAAUUUUUUUUCAAGCUACUAUUUUGGAGGUUGUAGUAGUCUUCACUUGUACUUGACAGUCUCUUUCAGGUAUUCAACUACUUUAUCAGAAUCAGUGCCAGAGGAGCCUGUUGUGCAACUCGAUUUCCCCUCCUUCAUUAAGUCUGCCAUUGAUAAACCUGAAGGUGAGCUACUCUCACUUGGUAAAUGCGAUUUAGUUUUUCGAGGAAAAUUUUGACUAUGAAACCGCAUAUUGAGGUCACAUGUGGAAUAUGUUUAGCUACUUUUGUCAUGCAAAAAGUCAUAAGUUCUGGGAAAAUUUCAUUGAUUUGGUGGUAUUGGUAUCUAAACAUUUGAUGGAUAUUGAUAAGCCAAGUUGAAGAAACUUAUUUAUGAAGAAAGAAGAAAAUAACCUGAGCUGUAGGAAAUUUUUAAGUAGCUUCCCUUUCCUGUAUGUCGAUGAUGUGCUCAAGACUUGUACAAGUGGACUAUGAAUGACUUUUGUACCUGACCAACUUGUCAGCGGUUGAGUUAAUCAUUUCCCUUCUGUGGAUCUUAUCAGUGAAAUGAGUCUUGAAUAAUUACAUACAAAAUCUUAGCAAAAAGUGAAAGUACUGGUCUAUAGUCAGUCUAAACAAUUUAAAGAAGUCAUCAUGAUUAUAUCAAAUGCAUGCUGAGAACAAAAUCAUGUUUUUGCUUUCUUUUUCUGCUGGCUGUAAUGAUGGUUGCUUCUUAGUAAAUCAUACAACUUCUACCUGAAAGAAUAUAUCAUGUCAAAUUGGCCUUCGUCAUUCCUCGUCUCCUCCACUUGUUAUUAAUGAAAUGCAUGUAAGCAGUGGAUUAUGACAAUGUUGUUCCUGAAAAUCUUGGUUAAGCCAUCAAUAUCAUUCUUUAUUAUGUUUUGAAUACUUCAUGUCUAUUGCUUAACUUUUGGUGUUACAAACUAUUUCAUUAUCUGGUUGUAACUGGAUAUAUGUGCACAGUUGUCUCAUGUCCGUUGCUCUGAACUUUAUUCCUGAAUGAUUUGAACAAAAUGUGCAGGCCCUUCUCAUUGUUGGUUAAAUGGAAUUCCGGAUAAGAAAAUUUUGAAAGAUGGCAUCUUCCUAGUGCUCGUAACUGGAUUCCUAGAUGGUUCUUCAAUCACUGAGGCAAACUUUGUUAGCAUGCUUGAGAAAGUAAAGUUUCUCCAGCAGAGGUAGAGUAGAUCUUUACACGAACUUCUUUUGUCUUAGUUUUCUUACAAACAUCUUUUUACAGAUCUGUGCUUUCUUCUAAUGUUGCAGAUAUCCUUUCCUUCAAAUAAUUGGUUACCAGGGUAUCGAGAAGAUCCCACUUUGCUCCAGUGAUAUAUGCUCACAUCUGCUUGGGAGAACCUUGAAGGAAAACAUUGCUUUUCCUCUUCUGCUAUCUUACAAGGAUGUUCUGGAGGUAUAUUCACAGAAUUUGCUGCUCAAUUAGUGCAGUUCACAAUAUAAUUUUCAAUCUGUUUUAUCAUACUAUAGUGUCAUACGACAGCAUAGCUGUUUCAAAGUGCUGGACCUUCUUUUGAAAUAUUGUACUUAUUCAGAAGGGGGUUGCAUAUCUGACUAUUCAAUGAGAUCUGAACAUUCUGUUAUAAGUGGUACCUGGAUCCUGAGCCUUCUUAUAUUGGUUUGCUAACUUGUGGUCUCUGUUAGUAUAAGUGUGUCCAUCGAUAUUUCCUUGCUAAUGCUCUAAAGAAAGCAAGGUAAACUCUAUUAUGUUAAGGAAUAAUUUUCGAUUUUUUGGUAGGUUAUUGAAACAUUUUUUUCAUGUCCCAUCAUGGAGUUAUGUAUGACACUGGGUUUUUAACAGGGAGAGAAAGAUUAGUAAGUCUCUUUUAAGUCCUAACAAAAAAUAUGAAAAUCGAUAUACAUUGUAAACUAAAGAACAAUGCUUCAAAAGUUUGUUUAACAUUCUUAGAAAGUCAAAUUGUGGACCAAAUGGAUGUACAGAACUUAGCAUAACCUCAUCAUUAAACUUUGAUGUUAUUAACCGUAUUGGUUAAGUAGUUCGAAUUUUGUGUUAGGCCUCUGCUAAUCUCCUUUAAUGUGCAAAGGACCACUUAUCUGGUAGUUAGGCUUGGAAAUGUGUCGGCAUUAGAGCUAAUUGGCAUUAUGCUAGAAGAUGCAACUGGUAUUGUGGGGUAAGUACAUGUCAUCUAUCUUUUUGUUCACGCUUUUAGAUAUGGUUCAGGACUGGAAAUAUUGUGCUUAAUCGUUAAGUUGGCGGCUCCCUCAUUAAAAACUUGUUGGUUGGUGUUGGGUUAAGAUCUGGCUUCUGAUUCUUGUAAUUUGUCCAUGAUUUUUGGGUCUUGAGUAUUACUUUGUUGCUUGUUGCCUUCCAUACAGUUAAAUUUUGCAUAUGUGUAUAAUAAACAUUUGCUUUUGGGUGAUAUUUGCUCUUGGCCCUAAUAUCCGCGUUUCUGCAACCUUUAUUUCAUUUACUCAUGUUCUGAUUGUCACUGGAUUCAUUCAUUAGUUAUGAAUUUGACAUACUAUUCCCUUUGUUAGAUAGCUAGUGAGGCCUGCUAUGUGAUGUUUAAAGGUUUGAAGAGUCCUUCAAUCUAUUAUGGGAAGGAAGCAGAAAUGGUGAUUCUAGACAAAGGUAUGCUGUGUUUCCCUCUUUUAUAUCCGGCAUGCUUUCGGAAUGAGAUCGGGUGUUUUCACGUCUUGCCAUAGUGCCCGAUUUGUCUUGAUUUCCGAUUGAUGAACAAGAAGUAAAAUGGAACAAUUCUAUUAAUGGCAUCGAGAAGAUGAAAAAAGUACAAAAGUGAUUCUGAUAGCUCUAUUACAUGAGAAUUAGGCUAAGACUAGGGAGCUUAAAAAUCCAAAAAAUGGUCAAUGUUAUCUACAGGGGACAGCUUGCACCAGCCAGUUAAACAGAUUCAUAAGGCACCUAGCUUUCAAAAGCGAUUUGGAAUUGAGAUACCAUCAAAACAUCUAUGAUUUCUUUCCGUCCAUAUAGACCAAAAAUACUUGCUGGAACCAUUCACCAUAUGUUCUUGAUGGUUUUAUCAAGUUUCCAGCUUUCUUAAGCUUCCUUUACUUUAUGUGGCAUGACCCAGUUAAGUCCAAAAAUCUAGUAAAACAUGCUCCUAAGAUCUGCUGCUACUCUAGAUUGGAGAAGAAGGUGACUGAUGCUUUCUAAGUUGAGAAGACACAUGUAACAUCUAUUUACAAGCUGAAUGUUCCUUCUACAGAGGUUAUCCUGGGUCAAACAUGCCUCGUUUAGGCCUCAUUUGUUUGCACUUAAUGGAGGUCUGAAUCUUAAUCAUUCAGAUCUUAGACGUUAAGUGCGUUUGUUUUUAAAGUCUGAAUCUUAAUUAUUCAGAUCUUAAUCAUUAAGUGUGUUUGUUUUUUUUACUUCACAACCACUUAAUAGGUCUGAAUAGGUCUGUAUGAUUAAGAUCUAUAAUAGAGACUUAAUUUCAUUAAGAUGCUAUCAUUCAUAUUCAUGAUUAACUGCCACCAUGCCUCCACCACCACACCACCAUCAUCAUCAAUCAUAGCCGCUACCGUUAUCGAUUAUCACCACCCACCAUCUCCACUACUGCCGCCACCAUCAUUCUCAACCACAAUCAACACUCAUUUACCUCAACUACCACAACUAACUACCCCAUCACCAUCAACAACCACAGCUGGCACUGCCCAUCAUUAUAACCUAGCACCACCCACCACCACCUUCCUCAAUCACAACUACCACCACCACCCGCCAUUAUUAACUAUCACCACCCACUACCACCAUCCUCAAUCAUAAUCGUCACCAUUAUCAAUCACCACUAGCUACUACCCUGAACCACCACCAUCAACCAAAACUACCACCAACCACCGUCUCUAGUCAACAUUCACCCGUUAGCCAUUACCACCAACAGCUAUCAUAUUUUAAAAAACUCUAUAUUUUAUUGAUAGAAUAUUAGAUUAAUUAGUAUUUCAUUUGAAUUUUAUGUUUAUUAAUUUUCAAAUAAAGAUAAAUCUUAUACAUUCAGAUGUUAAAAAUCAAACAGUCUUAAUCACUUAGUAUUCAGAUCUUAAUACACAUCUUAAUAUUCAGUUGUGUAUUCAGAUUCAGAUGCCUUAAUCUUAAUACACAUCUUGAUAUUCAGAUGUGUAUUCAGAUUCAAACGUCUUAGUCUUAAAAAAAAACAAAUGAGGCCUUAGUGCUGUCCAACUAAAGCAAAUUAUUUUUUUGGGUAGCUUUUUUCUCCAAAUUAGCUUCCAGGGCCAGUUAUCUAUCAUUGCAUUGUUGGCACAUGCAUGGUUUUAUCCUGCUUUAAACAAGCCAUCUCUUGAAUUCCCUCAUCUCAAUCUGUCAACUUCCUGCGUAUUCAUUGUGCAUCUCUAGCUUUGAAAGUAGUUGCAGUAGAUAAUUGAGUUUACAGUCGUGGACAUUCCUCCUCAAUUCCUAGGAGUUAACUACUCUAUUCUGUGAAUUUGUUGAAUCCGGUUCAACUUUAAUCAAAAAAAGAUUAGGGAAUUCCUCUUUUAGAAUGAUGCUGUCCAACCAUUUGUUCUUCCAUAUAUUGAUAUGAACUCCAUUCCGCACUUUGAAUGACGAGUUCUUCCAUAAGGUGCAUAUGCUUUUCCACAAGCCUACUCCAAGUGGCUGUCUUAGGAGUUUUGAGCACCAGUGGUUCUCCACCCACUAUUUUGUCUUAACUAUGGCUCAACACUCCCCCUCAUGUAUUAGCCUAUUUUUUUUUUCAUGGGUUAGACACUUGUAGUAUAUAUAUGCGUGGUAGUGAGAUUUGAACCCGGGACAUAUUGCCUACUCCGAUACCAUGUAAAGAAGAUGGACUUUAGGCCUAACUCAAUCCCAGAAACUAGCUCAUGAUAUGAGAAUUGCCUAAAACCAUAUCAACAGACAACAACCCAUUCUCUCAGCCAAUGUGGGACCUUCUAAGAAUUUUCCUCCCAGGCAUGGACAUAUGGAGCGUGGACAAUAUAACGUAGGGGGUUCCAACGUUGGAUAAACCGAUAAUAGAGUUGAGUUUGGCUCGAAAUAGCUAAUGUAUCCGGAAAACCAAGGAACAUAUGCUCCGAUCCUUGUCGGAACCUCCUCCGGUGGUCAGAAUCCGCAAAACUCCAAAUGGGUCAAGUUGGAAUGAGAAAUUGAUCCUCAAGAGCAAAGCCUCAUCCUCGAAAAAUGAGAUCUUGCUGGCGCGUGAGAUCUGUAUUAUCGGCGUUACUCAUUGGAUUUUGCUCAGCGGAAGAUACUGGGUUUUUGUGGUGAUGUCGGAUAUUGCACAACACUCAUGAAAAGAAGUUAAGAUCUGACAACUUUCAGUCAUUGGAAAAUGCACGACAACUAUAUUUUCUUUCUGAAUGUUGCUGGUUACUGCACAACGAAUAAAGGCUUUGAUACUUCAAUGAACUGUGUGACUUUCUCAUCUGAACGUUUAAGUUGUCCGAAAGAACACAGUUUAUUUACUUAAUCAUAUAUGUCUCAACAUAAUAUAUAAGUAAAUGCAAUACAAAGAAAUUAGCCUCAAUUGUUGGGUAAUGCAUACCCUAUAGCAUUAGGUAUGGCUCGUCAAAUUGCUAGAUUUAAAACUAGAAAUUCAACAGCUUGCUAAGAUUGAAGAGGUCUCAUGGAGGCAAAAACCUUGAUGUUUAUGGCUUAAAGAAGGAGACAUAUACACUAAGUAUUUUCAGAAAAUGGCAAACUCUUGUGAAGGAACACUUACAUUGACAAGCUCAAAAUUGGCAAUGAAAUCAUUGAAGAGAGGGGGUAGAUUAAGGAGGAAAUUUUAGACUUCUAUCAAAAGCUCUAUACUGGAAAUGAGCCUUGGAGACCAGCCGUAGACUUUGAAGAUCUGACAAGUAUCACUGAAGAAGAAAAGAUAGAACUGGAAAAAGCUUUUGAAGAAGAGGAGAUUCUAGCAAUUAUUCAAUCAUGUGCACUUGACAAGGCACUGGGUCCAGAUGGCUAUAUAAUGGCCUUCUUCCAAAAGGCAUGGGGAAUCAUCAAAGCACAUGUAAUUCAGGCACUCAACCAUUUUCCUGAACACUGUCAUAUGGUUAAGUCUUGCAAUGCCUCAUUCAUUGCUUUAAUUCCUAAAAGGAAAGGAGCAAUUGAGCUCAUGGAUUAUAGACCAAUAAGCCUAAUUGACAGUGUCUCUAAAAUAAAUGCGAAGUUACUGGCUGAAAGAUUGAAAAAAAUGAUUGGGAAACUUAUUUCUAGACAUCAAAAUGCCUUCAUCAAAGCCAUGCAAAUCACAGAUGCAACCUUAAUCGCCAACGAAGUUCUUGACUAGAAACUGAAGAGAGGUAAAUCAGGCAUCCUUUGUAAGCUGGACAUAGAGAAGGCCUUUGAUUAACUCGACCGGCAAUUCCUCGUCACAAUGCUAAGGAAGAUGAGAUUUGGUGAUAGAUGGAUCAAAUUGAUUAAAUUCUGCAUUAGUACUGUGAAAUACUCAGUCUUGGUCAACUCCAUCCCAGUUGGUUCUUUUUCUUCCCACAGAAAGGUAUCGGGUAGGGAGACCCUCUCUCCCCCUUUCUUUUUAUUUUGGCUAUGGAAGGGUUAAGCAGAAUGCUUGAAAAAGCAAGAGACCCUGCAAUGGAUAAAAGGUUUUGAAGUAGGCACUAGUUAAGGGAAUGUAAUUACAAUCUCACAUACCCUCAUUUUUUGUGGAGCAGAGGAGUCCCAAGGUGCUACACUUAAAUCUUACGGUACUUAUUUUUGAGGCGCUGUUAGGGCUACACAUUAAUAUGAUGAAAAGCUACAUUUAUCCAGUUACUGAUGUUUAGAUUUGGAGACUCCGGCAAAUGCCUUUUGUUGCAACAUUGGUACUUUUCCAACAACAUACCUUGUUCUAUCACUUGGUGCUAAAUUCAGGUCAACUGAAAUUUGGAAUGGUAUAGUGGAAAAUUUUGAAAAAAAGUUGGCUACUUGGCAUAUGCAAUACUUCUCAAUGGGUGGCAGACUUGCGCUUAUCAAUAGUGUUCUGGACAACAUUCCCACAUAUUUUAUGUCAUCAUUCUCCAUCCCAGACAAGGUGAAAAAACAAUUGGACAAGAUUAGAUGGAAUUUCCUUUGGAAGGUAGCAGCGAAACAUACAAGUUUCAUUUGAUCAAAUGGCCAAAAGUCACACAACCUAAGUGGCCAUUUGGACAUAAGAAUUGUAAAAUUCCAGAAAAAAGCAAAAUUGUUUUUCAAGUGAAAUGGUAUUUGAAAAUUAGAGUUGUGUUUGGCUGUUUUUGAAUUUAUGUAAGUGAUCUGUAGUGAAAAUUUUGAAAAAUGGCUUUUUGUAGUUUUUCAAAUUUUCGGAAAAUACUAAAAUUCAUCUUCAAACGAAAAUUGUAAAUUUUAUGGCCAAACACUGAUUUCGAAAAAAAGUGAAUUUUUCGGAAAAAAGUGAAAUCUUUUUUAUGGCCAAACGAGCCCUAAAUCCCUUGGUGGUAUGGGCAUAAAAUCUAGCCAUCCACAGCAAAUACAUGCUUAUAAAAUGGCUUUGGAUAUGUGGUCAGGAAUCACCUACUCUUUGGAAGGAUGUGGUGGCUGCAAAGCAUGGUGUACAGUGCCAUUGGUGCAUCAAAACCUUUAGAGCUUUACAUGGUGUAGGCUUGUGGAAGAACAUAACCAAACUGUGGGAUGUAUUUUACCAGAGCUGCAGGUUCCAGGUUGGUAAUGGCACAAGCAUAAAGUUUUGGAAAGACAAGUAGCUGGGGAAUUCAGCUUUGCAAACUGAUUAUCCUAAUUUUUUCCUAAUCUCCAGUAAUCCAGACUCCACCAUCUCACAAAAUAGAGCAGACAAUGCAUGGAACCCACAACUCAGAAGGAACCUACAGGAUUGGGAGCUUGAAGAACCUACUCAACUUACUUGAAAGAUUGGGGAACUGCAUAACCAAUGAGCAGAUUUCAGACAAUGAGCAGAUUUCAGACAGACUAAGAUGGGUUGAUAAAGAAGAUGGUCUAUACUCUGUUACAGCAGGAUAUUCUACUCUUUCUGCCCAGAAUGAGAUGGUGGAUAAUUGGCCAUGGAAAUUAAUCUGGAAUUACCCCCUAAGGUGAUUUGUUUUAGCUGGACAGCACUCUACGUAGCAUGUUUGGCUCAAGACAAUCUCCAGAGGAGGAACAUACAUAUUGUCAAUGGAUGCUAUAUGUGCCAUCAGAACAUAGAAACCAACAGUCAUCUUUUAUUACAUUGUGCAGUUGCUACAGAUAUCUGGAACAUGUUCUUUUCAGUUUUUGGACUCAGUUGGGUCAUGCCUGAGAGGAUUAAGGAUGCCUUCAUAUGCUGGAGUUCUUGGAAAGUUGGUAGGUUCAUCAGGAAGAUCUGGAAAAUGAUUCCUGCAUGUAUUUUUUGGUAUAUCUGGACAAAAAGGAACCAAAGAUGUUUUGAUGAAAUAUCAACUCCUAAUCACACUCUCAAGGCUAAUUGUCUUUUAUUUUUAUAUAGCUGGAGUGAUCUCUUUCCGGUAAACUCCACUAAUACGUUUUUGGACUUUGUUAGCUCCUUAUCUUUAGUAUAGGGCACAUUGUAAUUGAGCUAACAAACUCACUUUUGCAUUUACUAUCUUUUGUACUAUUUGCAUCUACUUGAUGCCAUUAAUGAUAUCCCUUACUUCAUCCAAAAAAAAAAAUUGUUAUGGCUCUUCAUUGUAAUGGAGGACAAGCCAUAGGGUCUAACUGAUAUUGCUUUUUCUGCCUCAGGAGUCAGGAGAAGAAGUUAAGAAAAAUAGUUACUGGUUUCGUUAACUAAAUAGAAAUUGAACUCCUUGUAUAUUGUCUGUGUGUAUUUUGAGCAGCACUUGCAUUGUAUUGGUCUUUCUCCCAUCUAUAUCAACUGCACCCUUUGUGUAACAUCUAUAUCAACUGCACUGUAUUGGUCUUUCUCCCAUCUUUAUCAACUGCACCCUUUGUGUAACAUGUAGAAUAUUUAUCAUUCAUGUUUCCCAUAUGCUCUUCCUGAUAUCCUGAGUUUCUAUAGUAAGUUUGAUUACUUUAUCUUCGGGGAUUAAGGCUGCAGACCAGCUAAAAAGAGUAGAAUAGUUACAAUGUUACCUCGCUUUACAUGUUUUUAUAUGCUUCAUUUUUUCCAUAAAAUAGAGUUUCUGUAUGUCCAUUUUCCUAUUAUUGUCAUAGUACUGAGGUUCUUUCUUACGUUCUGCGAUGUCAGCAAUCAAGGAUUUCAGAGCGCAAGAGAGUGCGGCCCCUAAGAUCCUGACAAGCACAUGGGUAAAGCCAACUGAUGAAUUCAAGGCACCACCUCUCUGUUUCCCCUUGCGAAACCUGUUUCUUUACUUUCCAGGUAGAGGUCCCCCCCUGUUGAGCUGUCCCAUACUGUUGAUUUAGCACUUUUUUAAAAGAUAAUUAUGAACAUCAACAACAACAACAACAACAACAACAACAUACCCAGUAAAAUCCCACUAGUGGGGUCUGGGGAGGGUAGAGUGUACGCAAACCUUACAUCUACCCCGGAAGGAUAGAGAGGUUGUUUCCGGGGUACCCUCGGCUCAACAGAAGAGACAAUAAUAUCAAAAAAGAAACGAAAUAUAUAUAAAAAAAGUUAAAAUAUAUAUAAAAAAAGAAAUGAUUUGGACCUGUAAAGUUCUUCAAAGCUGAGUCCACUAGCAUUGUGAUUGUAAAUCUCAUGAAUGGCAUGCUCCAGUAUUUUCCAAGUCUUGUCUGCAUACUUGGGAUCAACCACUACUUUGUGCUUGAACGUCUGCAAGGAUUUCUGCCUCAAAUGUUCAACUUGUGUUUUCUGCCGUCAGUAAGAAAUUAUGAAGUACAUCCCCCCCUUCCUCCCUCGUCUUCUUGUUGCCGUGUAGAAAGAGGGAUAAUCAGAUAAGAACAGAACAGAACAAUUAACCACCUGAAGAAGGAAUCAGAUUCAAGGUUAAUUUGUAUGGAAUGGUGAAUUAUUGCUCUUCCAACUGAUGUGACUAUAAACCUAGUGCAACUUUGCGGUUCGAGGAGAAAGUUAGAGAGGAUAACAUUGUAUUUCAUGUUACUCAUCAAAGAGUAGUUUGUUGAACUAUCAAAUUAAAUGUUGAUAAUGUUCAGUGCAUAAAGCAGUGCCAUGAUAGAAAGUGGUAAAGAGGUACACAGUCGGUGUUCUCUUUCAACCGCUAUGAUGUAGCUUGGAGUUAUGGUGGAAGAUAUUUGAGAUUCGAAACUGAUAGCUAUCUCAAUUUACUUUCGAAAGCUUCCCUUGUCUAAUAAUUUUAGGAGAUGAUAAAAAGAGGUGUUCCCACUAUUUCAAAAUUUCAAAAUUCAAGGAUUGUGAUUUACCCGAGGCCCCUUCUUCCUAGCAUUUGUCACUUAUACUUUAGUUUCUGACUUUUCUUGCAGGUGGUAUUUCAGUUGAUGAGAGUGGCAAUCGCCUUUUCCUUUCUGACUCCAAUCACCAUAGAGUUAUUGUACUAGAUGGCAAUGGAAUGAUUUUAGACUCUGUAUGUGUCAGGCUUGCAUGGGUGACUUCAUGAUAUUUUGAUGGUUAUAUCGUACUGCUAAAGCAUAACGGGAAUUGCUAAUGCAAACAUUAUCAUUUUUGACAUAGAUUGGUUCUCCUCCUGGUCAUGAAGAUGGAGAAUUUGAAUAUGCGAAGUUAAAGCGUCCGGCAGCUUCUUUUUAUCAUGCCGCUGAGGACUGCCUAUAUCUUGUGGACUCGGAGGUAAUUGCAUUGAAGCUCUUUAUGUUUCUUAUGAUAUCCUAUCGCUCAUUGUCUAAUUUUGAUGGUUAAGAGGGAUAAAAAAAGUAAAGAAAAGGAGGUGGGGGGUGCUUGAUUUAGCAAAAAGUGAAAAAUAAAACAACUUCAUCACACAUGAUUUUAAUCUUUUGGAAUGUCCAAAUUGUUAACUCACUUGCAGAAAAAAAAAUCAGCUGUUACAAGAGCUAUUCUCAUUUAGUCAUUCAUUUCUUAAAGCAUCAUGUGCUGUGUUUCAUCUCAAACUAACCAUGAGAAUAUUCCAAUCGUCAAAAUUGUCUUUCUUCUUGCCAUAGGAGGAUUAUAUACAUGAGAGUCAUUUCUUAAUCGUUGUAUGUCCCUAAAUUGUUAUAUAACGGGGAUAGGGGGAGUAAAAACGUUCGGUAAAAGAACAUUAAACUGAAGCAAGGAGUGUCGCAGAAGCAUUAAGCAUAAUUACGAUUUUAUUUGUGUAUUAGCGAAUACAGCCUGGCUUAAGCUCGCUAUUUUUAAGCAGAGUUGAGCUCGUAUCAGCUCAAGUUUGGCUAGUUUGAGUUACCGAAUUCUUCUUUUCAAACUUUUACAUAUUUAUAUUUUAUUAUAAAUAAAAGCAAAGAUAUACAUUAAUUGAGUUAUUUGUUGGCAAUAUAUUUUUGAACAAGUCAAUAUAUCUUUUCUAGUUGCUAGUGUGGAAAGAUUUUAAUGUUCAGGUCCUAUCUAGUAUUAGUUUGGAAUAAUAUUUUGUUCUAGUUUUUCCCUACCUGUCCCUUCUUGUCUAUAUUUUUAUUGAUGUGGUGCUUAUGCUUUCCCGAGCCGAGGGUCUAUUGGAAACAUUCUCUCUAUUCUCACAAGGUAGGGGUAAGGUCUGCUUACACACUACCCUCUCCAGACCCCACAGUAUGGGAUAAUACUGGGUAUGUUGUUGUUGUUGUAGUUUUUCUCUACCUAAUUUUAGAUAUGCAUAAAUCAUAUAAAAAAUUUAAUGAAUUCUUUAAUAGAUAAUUUGAGCUACAGUAAAGUGAUUCAAGCUCAGUCUUGUUUACUUUAUCCAGAGAAGUUCAGUUUUCUAAAUUUAUUGGGUUGAGCUUUUAACAUAAACAUGAACUCCAGAACUUGGGUUAGCUGACCUUGAUUACGCGUUUACACCUCUAUUUUAAGCGAACUUUGUGAAAGAUAGUGGUAAAAGCAAGGCAAGUGUGGUUUUACAAGUUUUGACUGAUGUAGUUUGUCUCUUUCAUCGGCAAAUGAGUCUGCAGUCAGUCUUAGACUUUUGGCUGCAUUACAUGGUCACCUGAGUUUGAAAAGGAAUUGUCACUCCGCUCAAAGUGAAUCUCCUUAUAUCUCUUUUGGUUCUUUUGAAGAUAACAUCCAUCUUCCUAAAGAAAGUCUACCUUAUACUAAAUUACAAAAGAUAGCAUGGCCUCACCUUUAGUUUUGUCAAUGUAAGCUUUUUUAUUUCUCUAUUAACAACCACGAUGUAGCAGGGAGUCCUACAUGUUCCCCAUUUGAUCCUACAGAAUACACAAUUUUCAAUUUUUCUCUUAAUAGUCAAAUGAAGUAGAGUAGAAACUCAGCAUUCAAAUUAUGAUUCAGAGUGUAAUACACUAAUACCUGUGCUCCUCGCUUCACCAUGAGGUUUAUUGUUGUUGAGUUAGCCCUCAAUCUACACUUCUCACCUACAAGUAUCACACUUUCAGUUUUUUUUUUUUAAAUGUCAAUUAACCUUUUUGGGAAAUCACUGGGUUUCUUGUUGUUGUAGUUAACCUUUUUAGGUUAAUUGACAUAAAAAACUAUACCAACAGAUAUUCUGUCAAAUGGGAUAUAGAAUGAUCUUGAGAUACUAUGUUACUCAAAAGACAUUAUGGCUUCCAUGCAUCUCCUUUUUUUGAUUCUUCAGUAAUAGAAUGUUCUACUGCUUUACAGCCUUGAGCUUUUUGUCCUAGUGGUUGAAGACACCUUUACUGUUUCUUUUUUGCAUGGCAUCCCUAUUAGUUCAUUAGGGUUUCCCUGUUACUUCAUAAGGCUAACAAAUGUGCCCCUGGUGUGAAAGAAUCAUGCUAUUAGGAGAGCUGAUAUGGGGAGGAGGGUUGUGGAGACUUUGUACCCAAGAAGCAAAACAAAUAAAAAUAGUAGCAUUUGGAGCUGGAUAUUGGGGAAGCUUUGGCCUAGAAACGAUCUAAAUGCACAGUCUGAAGAAUUGCAGCCGGACACAUUGCUGUUUCCGUGGCACAUGCUGAAUUCUCCAAAUGGCGAUCUCCUCAUUUUAAACCGCAGGUAGAUGCAACAGCUGGUCCAACUAUCUUCCAAGUUAUAAGUCUGCAAAUGCUUUAUAUUAUUUCUCCCUCGCCAAGUUCUAACCUCUAAUUCAAAUGCAAGGCACAUCACACAUAUUUUGCACGAAGAUUUUGUAAAUUAACCUAGAAGACUAGCUCUGAAACUUUCUAUUUCGUUUAUUUGGUGAAGUGUAAAGGCAUAGUCUUGCUUGUUGAUGUUCUGGUUCAGCAAUAGGAAACAAGAGUGCCCUUUAUUGGUUCUAACAAUCUAUAGGAAAUGGAUCAUCAUCUUUUAGAAAGCACAUAUUGUCGAACAAUAAGGAAAAGAAAAUGAGGCAAUAAUCACAUGAUGGAUGCAGGGAACAUAACUUGUUUUUGAAAUUCCUGCUUGCUUUUUCUUCGAUUGCAAAUCGGAUCAAGACGACCGCAACAACAAUGCCUUAAAUCAAGCUAGUUGUGAUCGGCUAUACGAAUCAUCACUAUCCAUUUUGCUCAGUUUGAAUUCGUUUCAUCCCAAUAUUAAUAAUUUAAACUCUUUUGUAAUAGAAGUUCUUUACAUUUUCUAUUAACAUACUAAUGCCAAGUAGUUGGUUCGCCUAUAUGGAUCUUCCCAUUAUCCAAUACGUUCUGUUUUUUCACUAGAUUUGCAUGAAUUCUAAGAGACUGUAGGCAUUUUGGGCCUUAUGUGAUUUUGGUCUACCUCGUUCCCUUUUAACACCUUUGUUGUCAUGCUUUCAUACCUACGAACCGGUGUAUCUGGAUGUCUGCCUAGGACAUGACCAAACCAUCUCAAACGACCUUCUCUCAUUUUAUCUUUUUAUGUACUACUUGCACCUUCUGCCAUAUAUGGUCAGUUUUAAUCUUGUUUAAUCUUGUGUGUUCGUACAUCCAUCUUAAUAUUCACAUUUCUACAAUAUUCAUUUUGUUGAUAUUCAUUUGACACUUCAUUUUUGUCCUAUUGACUGGUUCUGACAUUUUGUUCAAUUUCUAUUUAUUUUGUUUUUGGAAACAUUUCAGUAUAUAUUCUAAAUUUUCAAACCAAACUCUUGUAAUUGUUUAUCUGGUCAUAGCUCUUAAACUGUGUAAUCUAUCUGUUUUUAGGUCUUAAGCUUUAUAAUUUUGUUUUCCGGUGGCAUAACUAGGUAUGUUUUAUCACAUAACCAGUUUAAGAAGUUGGAAAUGAUCGGAACAUAUGCCCAAUAUUGCUUUUCAUUUUUGUUUUAAAAGAAUAUUUGACCCGAACUGGCCAACAUUUCAUGAACUUAGAAAUUGCAUAUGAUGAACAAGUUUGUCAUCUUGUCUCUUUGAUCCCUUCAAGGAAAAUGGAAUAUUAGAAGCCCAAAAAUUGCUCUUUCCAACUUAUAUUUUGCAAAAUUUGUUUCUGGAUUUUGAAAUUAAAUAUCUUGAUAAUUUCUGCACUUGUAUAUGUAAAAUUCUAUGGUUUGAGCUUUGGGGUUGCCCUCACUUGAAAUCUUUUUGCAUGCAGCUGCGAGACAUUGUGGAUCAUGGAUUUAGCCUCUGGCGUUAUCAGAGAGGUUGUUAAAGGUAUAGAAAUUAUUUCUAAAAGUGGUCUUAAUUUUCUCUACUCUAACAAUUAGCCUUGUCAGUUGUUGACUCACCCAUACUCUAAAAGGAUUUUCAAAUAUUUUGGAGAUCUGUGAGCCAUUGAUCCUGGAGAAGUCUACGCUUUUGAAUCAAAUGCCUAGUGAUUGGUUGCAGCAGCAAGGAGAUGCAAAUUACUCAUCAAAGAGAAUUCCAUAUCUUGAGCUUAUGUCUUCUGUCACAACUUUUCAGGAUCAGAUGCUCAUCUGUGAUACAGGUAAUCAUGUCUUAAGUGAUUGCAUCCGUUGUAACUUCUGCUUUGUUUGAUUCAACUAUUGAUUUGUGCUUAUCUGAAGUUGGUCAGACUGUAUUAAAACUCAAUAGAGACUCGGGUUCUAUAUCAAGCUUCCAGAUCUCUAAUUUGGGGAUCCUUGGGUUUCCUUACUGGUCCUCAUCUCCUCUUGAACGAGUAUGUGCUGCGUAAGUGUAACAAAUUAAAGAACUUCUAGCCAUCGUUCUUUUCUGCUUUCUCUGGGUGAUUAUGUUAAUUUACUGUGUCGAUUUCUGCUUAUGUUACAGUGAUGAAGCAUUGGCAGCAAAUCCCAUUGAUCACCUAGAAUCUUUCAACUUAUUGCCAGGUAGUAAAACCUAUUGGUUACAUGUAGUCUAAAUAAUUAGUGAAAAAGCUCGUCUAGAAAAAAUACUUAUCUUUCAGCUGUUUAUCAUUACCUAUAUUUAUGUACCUUCAAUUUUGUAUCUUCUUUUUCUGGAUCAUAUUUUCUUGCAAGAAUUUGGAUGUAAUUUUUUAUAAAUUUUGAUUUGUUCCAAAGAGUAGUUUUUUUUGGUUUACUCCAGAGGAUGAGACUAGAAAUUACUGCAUAAGUAGUUAGGUAAGUAUUAAAAAUAAUACUUGAAAUGUAUGGAGUAUGUUAGAUCAAAAUUUACUUCUGAAGUGGCUUUGGAGGUACAAUCUGGAGGUUAAUGCUUUGUGGAGACAGGUCAUCUUGGUAUGGACAAAAUGGGCAAUGGUGUUCUAACACUGUUAACAGUCCCUACGGGGUUGGGUUAUGGAAGUCAAUUAGACUUCACUGGAAUACUUUGGCUUCUAAUACCACCAUAAGGGAAGGUAAUGGAAGGAAACACUUUUCUGGAGUGAUAACUGGUUAGGGCAUGGCUCUCUCAAAGAAUUAUUUCCUGAUUUUUUCAACAUUGCAACAUCACCUACAGCCACAUUAGAUACAGCUUGGGGACAGCAAGGAUGGAAUGUUACUUUUAGGAGGGGCUCUGAAUGACCGGGAACUAGAGAGGGUUGUGGAUUUCUCUAAGAUCUUGGUAGAAUUUCAAGGUCUCGGAGAAUCUGAAGAUAAACUUUGUUGGAGCCUUCACAGGGAUGGGAAUUUUACAGUUAAAUCUGCACAUACCUUAAUUUCUAUUCCAAACCAACAGUUAGAACAACGGCCCUGGAGGUAUAUUUGGAAAGUCAAGGCACCUUUCAAGGUAGUAUGCUUUCCAUGGUUAGUGGCAAGAAAGACUUGUCUAACCCAAGAGAAGUUGAGAAGAAGAGGUUUUCAGCUAUGCUCUAGGUAUUUAUUAUGUGGUACAGCUGUAGAAACUAAUAGCCAUUUGUUUCUUCGUUGUCCUUUUACUAACCAACUGUGUCAGCUCUUUCUUAAUGGGCCUUAAAUGUAGCAUGCCAGCAAACACUUGUAAUCUGUUGAAGUGUUGGAAUUAUAAUAGGGGUAUAGUGAGACAGAAGAAAUGGUGGAGAUUGGUUUCUGCUUGCAUAUGGUGGACAGUCUGGAAGUAGAGAAAUUUAAGAAUUUUUGAAGACAGAAGCAACUCUUUACAGAACAUCAAGAUGAAGUGUUUUCUUUUGCUUCAUUUCUGGUGUAAAGAAAGCUAUUUAGAGGAGGCAGAAUCUCUAGUAGACCUGAUCGGUGCACUGUGAUCUUAGGCGGACAUAGCUGGUUUUGUUUUCCUUGUAAAUAUGGCUUGGCACUGCCUUAGUGCUGUUUUUAUUUUCUUAAUAUACACGUUACCAUUUUUUAUAAAAGUAUGUUAGAUCAAAUUUGAAAUAAUAUAAAGUUACCUUUGACGACCAAUUUUAUGUGAUGGGCAGAUGGACGAAGCAGGGGUUUAAAAUGUUAAUCUGACUAGUGUGUUAUACUAUCAAAGUUUACAAUUGAACGAUUGAUGACAUUGAAUUGUUAUGAGAAUUGUAUUUAAUGAUGUUAUUAGUAUUUAUUAACACUUUGAGAUGUCCUAAAUUGAAAAAUGCAUUACAAAGAAGGAGAGUAGUUGUUGGAUUAUCACAGCUUCCUGUUGAACAAGUAGUUUUAUGGAUCAAUAGAAAACAAGAGAAAGUAGGCCAAGUAUUUCUAGAUCGAGGAGUUCUGUAUGAUAACAUCGCUUCUUCAUUUCUGUAACAGGUAGAGUUGACAUACAACUGAAUGUAGAUAUUCCAGAAUAUGUUGAUCUAAUUGAACCACUGAGUGAAAAUUGUGUAUGGAGGCAAGUUAGAGGGGCAGCAACUGAAAUAUGCGAGGCAGACAGCACAAUUAUGUCUUCAGAAAAGGUUUCUAAUGCUUGGACCUUUUAGUCUCCAUGUAUUUGUAUCGCCCAUAAAUUCCACUUCCCUCAUUCCAAGCUGAUUUUUCCACUUUUCAUUUUUGUGUAGUUCCAAAAUAAUUUUCUCAAAAAGAAUGUUGGUAUAUACCUUGUAGCAGUAGCACAAAUAGUUGUGGGACCACUUUAAUAGGUAGAAUAUAGUCCAACAUUUUAUCUCAAAUACUAAAUAAUUCACUUUUUCAACUCCUCUGAUAGCAGUACAAAGUCGAAGCAAGAGAUCUAAUUUGGGAUGAAUGCAGUAUUAGGUAGCAAGCACUUCAAAUAGUGCCUUAUUUCAAGUAGCUUAAAGAGUUAAGUUGAUGUGGAUAUGCAGGUUGGUGUUGCUCAGCAAUGGUAUGAUGAAAUUGACCACCUUGCCUUUUCAACACCGGAAAUAGAAUCAACCAUAGAAGAGGUAAGUGUGAGUCAUGGUGAAGAAAUUCCAGAAGGGAAAAUCGAGAUCAGUUGCUCCAUCAACACAAGUCCUGGAACAAGCGAGGUAUAUUAUUCUUCCCACACAAUUUUGCUUUUGAUUCUGAAUUACAAAGAUUCUCCAGGAUUUAUGUGAAAUUUCUAGCUCAAGUUGUUUAAAAUGAUAAACAUUUCAGUUAAUUGGUAUUACCUGGAUUUCAUUCUGAAUUUCGGCAUAGAAAAAUGAUGCUUUACUCAUUAUGUGAUUGUUUUCAUUUCUCUGGUUUCACCACCAGGUUAUCGUUUGUGCUGCAGCAUAUUUGAGACUGAAAAAGGAUACAGAUGUCUGUAGUGAAAGUAGACAGAGGAAAGCAGCCCGGAUAGCAGAUCUGUUGAAUCAGGGGAGGACAAGGGUAAGCAGAGAUGUUAUAGUCCAGUUCUUGCUGACAUCAAAAAGAGAUCUAGAAGAAGUCAUCAUAACGAGACCUAUACAUGUGAGACUCAAGUUUGAUUGUCCAAACCACCCAAAAGCAGACAAUUCCAAAGAUAUAAUUUUGACGGACACCUCUUUAAAUGUGAAUGUUGCUCUGAGUAACAUCUAAUAAAUAGUGUAUGGAUGACCCUUAAUGAUAUAUAUGCCUCAUCAUCUUGAAGGCCAACUUGUGCACACCACGACUAUACCACCAGUACAGGUACCAGAUAACUCCAAUCUGUGCUCAUUAUUUUGUAUGAAUUUGUCAGUUAUUUGUUCUAUUUCUAGUGGCUUUUCUAUCAGUUUAUUAGUAAAUCGUGCUAUAUUCCUAGAUGAUGUACCGUUUUCUUCUGUUUGAUCGACUCCAUAAUAUCUGUAUGAAGUUGUAAAAUUAAUAGUUCUAUGGAGAAAAUCUUUCCCUCUCUAAAUGUACAGGUUUCAAAUGCAUAAUUCUGAACUAUUGGCCUGUUAGACUGCUAUAUUUUGGCGAGCGUGGAGAGGCCUGGGUUGCUCAUUUGAAAAUUUCACUUUUUUAUAUAAUUCAUUUUGAUUUUCCUGCAGGGUAAGACUUGAAAAAUCUUCAAACUAUGAAUAUUGAGAAACAAUUACCGCCGUUUUAAAUUGUUCUUGUACUUGUUAUGAUUAGUAUUGGUCUCAUAUUUUGUUGGCUUUUAAGUUAAGUGCUUAAAAGCACUUUAUAAGUGCUGGAACUUGUUUAUAAAUAAGCAGUUACGUGUUUGGAUAAAAGUGUUGAAAUUGAAAACAAACUGAUGAAGUGUUUGGUAAACAAGUCCUGGUAAGCACUUUUUUUUGUUAAAAUGACUGAAAUAUCCUUAAAGUUGUUAACAUUAUAAAGAAGAUGAUGGCUAUAAUAUUAUAUUUUUCGUUCAUAGCUUCAAAUUCAGGGGUAACACGUAAAUUCAUUGAAUGAUUUGAUUUUAGAAUAUAGUUACACCAAUUAAAAAAAAAGGGAAGGAUUCAACGACAAAAAAAAUUAAAUGUUAUGGAACCAAAAAAAGAAGAAGGUAAAAGAACAAUAUUUACAAAAUAUUGGAAUGUAUCAAACAUUAUUUAAAAAACUAUUGUUUGCUUCACGUUAAGAACUUCAAGAAAUUGACAAAUAUUGGAGAAUGACAGUAGUAGCAAAGGCAAGAUGAAGAAUGAAGAUUAGAAUUGACAUAAGGAAUGUGACGGGGAAGGGAGCUGUAACAACUCCAAAAUAUAGAUUAUAUUAAUGGUAGUAACUAAGGAUUACAACUCAAGGAAGUAGAACAACAUUAAUGAAAAUGCAAAUGAAGAAGCUAAGUAAGAUAGGAGAUAACAAGUGAAGGGGAUGAGAAGCUAGACUAAGAAUUGAUGAAGAGCGGACUAAUACCCUUUACUUAACAAUAAUCAGCUAGCUAUUUGGUCUAAGGUACUGCUAUUUAUUAAUUCCCCAUACCUCAUAUGUUCCUAAUCUGGGUCCCAUAAAUAAGUUUCUAAGUUUCCAUCCAUGCCCUCCCAAAUGUUAACUACGUUCAUAACAAUACCCCCGGCCUCAAUAAGAACCUUGUUCUCAAGGUUCAAGAUAGGAAAUUCUAAUGAGAGAACAUGAGCAUUUGUGUUGGCUUGCACCAUGGAAAAGGAUUCCCAUAUGUAAUCUUUGGUGACCAUCAGUGUAGUGUCAGAUAUUAGGUCAAAUGCAGUGGCACUAUCAUGAUCCACAACUAUCCAACCAUGAGAAAUUGGAACAUCCAAUAGAGACAACAUGAUCCAUCAUCCAUCAUCACUUAAGCACUUCACUUUAGUUGUACGUGAAAGCAUAGGGAACUCAUCACAAUGCCAUAUUGAAGCUUGACCAUCAUCAAAAUAUCCGGACAGAAGAGCUUACUGGGCACUGUCAAUUGCAUUACAUUGCAGCUGUGUGGCUUUAUAAUCAUCACUGUCCCGAAAGAGAGAGCAUUUUGUUUCUUGGUGAACUCCACUUGGAUCAAAAGCUUGCUGCCAGGUAGUAAUGUUCAGGUCAAUGAAAUAAAAGCAAACUGCCUCUAUGCCCUCAUAGCUUUCUACUUUAGCAUAUAAAACCAAGCGAUUACUCGACCGAUGCAACUUUAAAGCUUUACCAGUAUUGAAUGCAUACCCAUGAAUGGUAGAGGUGCUUCCCCUUGCCAAAGCCAAUAAAACUAACUCCUUGUGUCUGAGAAAAACUAAUGGAUCGGCAUCCUUGUGACGAAUCGAGUUUCUGUAAUGGCGCAUGAGGCUCACACUUGAGAAAAUGCCCCUCAUGAACAUGAAUCCAAUGAUAUGAGACAGAAACAGUUGGGUGAUGCUUAAAUUUAGUUGACAAUGCAGCAAGAAAGUCACACAUUAGAGCACCAACAGUUGCCAAUCCAUUCGCGAUCCUCCCACGAUCAUGCUGGAUAAUUAUCGCGUUCAAAUUAUCUUCAGUUGUUGGAAAGAUAUGACCAAUAACAACAUUGUUCAAUUUAUCAAUCCGUGAACCUAUUGCACGCGGCUUCAAACUUGGUCGCAGGUUAACAGAGUGCACGACUUUGUUUAGGAUACCCAACAAGAAGUCGGAGAAAGGUGGUUUCAGGAGUCGUGGCGGCCAAGGUUGAAUGUUGCUAGAACCUUUCUCCAUAUUAUGUCUCUCUCUUCCGUAGCUAAACUUAUUGGGAUAAAAAAGAGGGGAUAUAUUCUUAUGUAUCAACUGGAUUUCAGCCAAAAUGAAGAUGUCACUGUAAAAAUUUGGCUGAUUAACCACAAUACACCAGUACUCCUCCUCAUGUGGAAAUUUCUUCCGAAAGCUCUUAGUCAAAAUAAAUGUAAAUCCUAAACUUGACAAUGUGUUAGUGAAUAGAUUCUGUGAUUGGACACCCGUAGGGUCAUUCAAGCUUGAGCGAAUUGCAGUGAUAGUACUAAAGAAGUCCAUGUCGAGAAUAACACAUACAGCUAGUAUGGUGCGCAAAAAUUCAAGGACUUUGUGUUGUCUCGUAUUCUUAUGGAUCUUGUCCUCAAGAUUUGAGGCAAGAACAUUAUAAGUAGUGCAUUCCCCACCAAUUGUCUCGUUAUAAUCACUAAAGUAUUCAUCUACACGAUCAUGUACAACUGUUCCGCCAUAAGCUCCAUCGAACACUUGGAUUUGCAGCAAGGAAGCAACAUGUGGAUGCUCCUGGCUCACAAUAAAGUGGUAUACAUUGAAAAGCUCUUUUAGUUGCGUCAUAGGCAAAUCAAACUCCAAGCUACCAUCAGGUUCAAAAUGAAAUAGUGUAUAGUAGAGAACAAGAAUUCUAUUGUUAUCCUUUGCAAGCAGUUCUUCAGCUUUUAACAGACAAGGAUGGCCACAAGAAACGGUCACAACAAUCCAUAUAACAAAAUGAAGUGAAGUCGCGUCGUUCAAGCAUGUAGAGCAAAUGCAGUCACUAUGGUUGUUUGCUACUAUGAAGACGGCUAACGUGGGAAAUCUGGGAUAAUCAACAUAAGGACCAGGAUAAAAAAUAAUAUACAGCGAAGCAGGCCUUGCUUUAUGAACUAGACCAAACAGAGCAAACAAGACUCUAGUAGCUUUAUUGAGCCGAAUAUGUGGUGAUUGCUUGGAGUAACAUUCAGCUAAUACCUGGAGCCCUCUCAGUAUUUUCUGCUCCCAAGCACACUCUCUAGAUUUAGACAACAAGAAUCCUGGAAGAUUGCGUUCUUGCCCAGUAUCAACCCAAUUGCAUCUGUGUGAGCCAAAGUCAAGGUAAAGUGACACCUGAUUUUGAUUAACCCCACUAAUAUCUUCAAGAGAAUUAAGCAAACAUGGAAGUAUGUCAAACCAUAGUGUACCAUCAAAUGAAAAUUCUAUUACAGCAAAUCUCAUACUCGCAUUCGACAGCACAAUUCCUUGGCUGGUAAAAACCAGAAGAUCUAAUGUAUCCCAUUGACGAGAUUUAUCAAACAUCUGAGCUACAGUAGUAUCUCCGAAAUUUUCUUCCUCCCUAGAAUUAGUUCCGGUCGUAUCAUCAAACACCUCACUAUGUAACUUGGUUUGGAAGCUGGCAUUUGCGCAAAAGCUAUCGUCGUACACCUUGGAUACUGUAGUAACAGAGUCGUCUCCCUCAUGGACAAUAACAUUAAGAUCGUGAAUGCUGGAGCUCACUGCGUCGUGUAAAAUUUCGUCGAACACCUGAUCAUCAAUUGUGGCAUAAGGUUCAUGUACCAAUUCCACUACCUCUACUGAUUUUGCAUUUCCAAUUUGAGGUGCUUCUAUAUCUUCAGGAUUUUCAGUCUCACUAUUACUGCCAGUAAUCAAUGUCAAGGAAUCUACAGUUUCAUACUGCACUGGCAAUUUAUCGAAUAUAUGGUCCGCCUUCGAUUUUCCAUUUUCAUAGGCCGAGUCAAAUGUGGAUGACUUCGAAAGAAGGCUUAGAGCAGGAAAUGGAGACACCAUAGCUGAUUGUGACACUAUAGGAACAAUAUUAAUGUAGUUAAAACUAACCUGUGAGGAAUCAACGAGACGCCUCACCGGAUAUGUUUCGUUUUGCUGUCGAAAAUGCUGAGCAAAUUUCUCUUUGAAAUACGCCCAAUUGAAAAAUUGCUUGUUCCGAAACAACCAAUUGAACCAAGUAAGAGCUUCACCAUCAAGGUAAAAGGAAGGAAGAGGUAACCAGUCCUUCUCGGAGAAGCCAAGGUAAGUGAAGUACCGCUCAGCUCGAAAAAUCCAGCUCUCUGGGUUGCUGAUGCCGUUAAAUCGAUCUAGUACCACCGCUGCCAUUGGAGUCCGAUGGAUGAAAGCACUAAUGUAACAACUCCAAAAUAUAGAUUAUAUUAAUGGUAGUAACUAAGGAUUACAACUCAAGGAAGUAGAACAACAUUAAUGGAAAUGCAAAUGAAGAAGCUAAGUAAGAUAGGAGAUAACAAGUGAAGGGGAUGAGAAGCUAGACUAAGAAUUGAGGAAGAGAGGACUAAUACCUUUUACUUAAUAAUAAUCGGCUAGCUAUUUGGUCUAAGGUACUGCUAUUUAUUAAUUCUCAUACCUCAUAGGUUCCUAACCUGGGUCCCACAAAUAAGUUUCUAAGUUUCCAUCCAUGCCCUCCCAAAUGUUAACUACGUUCAUAACAGGAGCAUAACUGGGGAAGAAAGAAAGGAAAGGGAAAAGGGGAAAAUAAUGAAUGAAAGUGUAAAGAAAGAAAUGAAAGGAAAAGAGAGGAAAGUUAUGGAAGAAGACGAAGAAGAAAGCAGAGGGCAACAAGAAUGGAGAAAAGAAAAGAUAGUAUGUUGUAGGGUUUUUUUUUUUUUACUGAGGGGUAAUUUCGGGAUUAAAAAAAUUAUAAGGGAUAAGAAUGUAAUAUCUUUGGUCAAAGCAAUAUGGCUUUUAAGCCAAUUUCGAAAAAGUUAGGUUUUCCAACUUAUUGGUUUUGACUUUUUAAAAGUAGAUUUUAACUUUUUUAAGUCCCUUUUUUUUGUUGCCAAACACUUUCACUGGUUAAAAACUGUUCAAACAGGCUCUUAAUGUAUGUUAAAACUGUUGAAUGAGGUAAUUAAAUCCCUCGGAACUGACAAUAUCACAGAAAAUUAUUCCUACACUAUAUACCAAUUUGGUACUAUUAGUCCCUAUUCCUUUUUAAGCUGUCACACAACAAGUGACUUUGGCACUCGGUUAGUUUAGUUAUUUUAGCAUUUUUCUUUUAAAAGUUACGUAAGCCUCCUAUUUGCACGAAUUUUUUUAACCUCCAGUGAUUACACUAUUUAUGAUAUUUACAUACCAACAAAAUGAACACGCCCUGUAUUUCCAUCCUUUACCCAAAGUUGCUAAGCAGUAUGCUUGGCCUCCAGAUACAUCUCUCCCCUUUUUCCUAGUUACCCGAAACUCAUGGACUAAAGUAUAAUCGCUCACUUUAGUUGUUUGCUAUAACUAUUCCAAUAAUAAGUACUUGACUUCGCAGUUUAGUUUGAAACCCGGGGAAGAACAUAAUACAUGUCUAAUUGAUUUAUUGGGACGGUAAUGGUGGCAUUUGAUGGAAGGAAUGGAAGAGAACCAUCUAAGUGAUUUGGGCUGCACUUCUAGUUGGAUACCAACUUCUUAGACAAGUGUUAUUUUUUUGCCCUUUUACAUCUUCAAAAAUAAUGAAUAUUUCCUUUUCAAAAAGAAUAAUCUCUUUCUAAAUUUAGAAAAAAUGUAACUUUAAACUUUUUAUUUUACCCUUAAUAAGAUGGUUUAUAGCCAAACAAAUAUCUAUGGAUUGUUUGAUCACAAGUUUCAAAAGUCUUAUCAUUUUUGUUAAACUUCGAGCUCAAUCAAAUAAGCUCAAAUAAAUUGAAACGGAGGGACUAAUGAAUAAGGCAUUAGUGUUUUUGAAAUGAGCAAAUUUAUUUCAAGGUGCAACAUUUCCUUUGGUUAUGCGGAAUAGGAGAACAUUUGCCUGCUUCCUCUUCAUGACUUGUGAGUUAUGCUUCCAUGUUGAUUGACUUCUUGAAGGUUUGACCCACGUUUUAAAAUGUAUAAUCUAUAUCUAUCUAUACCUAUACUAUAUUAAAAACACGAAGGCAUUAGCGAAAUGUCGUUUGCCUUUUUUACCCCUUUAAAAUAAAGUUUACACUGGACCAAAUAGUCAUUUGAUUAUUUUCCUAAUAUAUAGGAAUAGUCAUUUAAUUAUUUUCCUUAUAUUUAAGAAUAGUCAUUUAAUUAUUCUCCUAUUAUUUAAAACUUUAAUUUUUCUUACUCCUUCCAAUUCUAAAAUUUUAGACGCUUAUUAUGAUUUAGUUAUAAGCAAAUUGAAAUGGAAAAACUAUGCAUAACUUACGUCUCUAAUUUGUAAUUAAAAAAAUAUCCUCCUUUAUUUAGGAGUUAAUAUUUUUUUGGCAAUUAACUAUUUUCUAAAUAUUUGAUUUAGGUAAGAGCUCCUAAUAUUAGGAAAUCUAAAUUAUAAAUCUCUUGCUUAAUAUUUAAAAUGUUAAAAUUAACUAAGAUUUGAAGGACAAUUUUAUAAAGGUAUGUAAUUGUAGAUUCUGUAUUGAGUAUCGACAAAUCAUUCUCUAGUUUUGUUUUGUGACUUACCUCUCGGAAUUUGUUUUUUGGUCAGGUUCCGUCUCUCUCUAACGUCUCUAUCUAUCUAUCUAUCUAUCUAUCUAUCUAACGUCUCUCUGCCCCAACCUCCCCACCUUCGCCAGCGUACAACUCUCUCUUCGUCUCUUUCUUCUUUUGCUUUUUUCUUCUUAUUUCUCCCCCUCUUUUCUCUUCUGAUUUUUUCGAGCUGCCCCUCCCCCUCCGUCUCCUGCCUCUCUAUGUUUCCUUUUUCUUCUUCUUCUAUCUUUCUCCCCCUAUUUUCUUCUUUGUCUCUUUCUUCUCUUGCUUUCUUCUUUCUCUUUCAUCCCCUCUUUUCUCUUCUGGUUUCCGAUCUGCCCCUCAUUACCUUCUUCUUUCACCCUGUCUCCUCUUUCCCCUUUCUUUAUUGCUGCUGGUCGGAUUCCUAGACCUAGCAGCGGCAUCAAGGAUUUUGCACGGAGACGAUUUUUCAGCAACCCUCGGGCGACGCGCGCGGGAACUUCCAGAAUAUAGCUGCUAUGGACAAUACCUUUCUCGGCACUCGUUGGGACUCCAUGUUCUACCUCUCUUGCUUAGAAUUUGCUAUUUGUUAAUAUUCUGUCGGCUGCCUUUUAUCCUUGAUUAGUGUAUUUCCUUCAGCUUGCUUGCAUUUAUCUGCCAUUAGUGGUAUCACACGUGUCUUUUGCGUGCCCAAGUUACAUUACAUUUCAGCUUAUAUUUAGGCUUUGCUUGUUUUAAGCUUUACCUGCUCGUUUGCAUUUGUAGUAGUUAAGGCUUAGUUUAUAUCCCUAUGUUUUUGCUGGUGUAGCUAUUUUGAGCGAUGGUAGUGUAGGGUCGUGUCCUCGGGUGGGUCAGCGGGUAGGUCAGGGGGUAGGGUGCAAGGGUGGAAAUGGGGGUAAGGAUUACACAAGGUUGAGAGUUGGAUCCUGGAACAUUGGGACACUGACGGGUAAGUCGAUAAAGUUGGGGAAGAUUCUCGAGAAGAGGAAGAUUAAUAUAGCAUGUGUCCAGGAGGCUAGAUGGGGGGAGGGAGGGGGGAGGGUACGAAGGCUCGGAAUGUUAAUGGGUAUAAGCUUUGGUACUCGAGGGCUGUUGGAGGCAAGAACGUGAUAGGUAUUUUAGUUGAUAGGGAUCUCAGGGAGUUAGUGGUGGAUGUCAUGAGGGUGAAUGAUAGGAUGUUGAUUAUUAAGUUAGUGGUUAAUGGGUUCACUUUUAACGUGAUUAGUGCUUACACGCCUCAAGCGGGAUUGAGCGAGGAGGUAAAAAGGUGCUUCUGGGAGGAUUUGAACGAGGUGGUGGGUGGUAUCCCAGAGUCCGAGAAGAUUUUCAUAGGGGGUGACUUUAAUGGUCAUGUUGGGGAGACGACUAGGGGUUAUGACGAGGUGUAUGACGGGUUCAAUUUCGGGGUUAGGAACGAUGGCGGUACUUCAUUGUUGGAGUUUGCUAAAGUUUUUGACUUGGUGCUAACUAACACAGGUUUUAAGAAGAGGGAGGAACACUUGGUCACUUUCCAGAGUAGGGUUGCCAAGACUCAGAUUGAUUAUCUUCUCCUCAGGAGAGGUGAUAACGGCCUUUGUACGGAUCGCAAGGUUAUCCCGAGUGAGUGUCUGUCGACGCAGCAUAGGAUCUUCGUAAUGGACUUGGAGGUCAAGGGAGCAAGGAAGAAGAGAGCGGUGUACGACCAACCUAAGAUCAGGUGGGGAGCCUUGACUAAGGGAAAGGCUCGGGAGUUGGGGGAGAAACUGUUGGCUUUGGGGGCUUGGAGGAGUAGUGGGGACGCGAGUAGUAUGUGGACCACGACAGCGAAUUGCAUUAGGGAAGAUUCUAGGGAGGUGUUAGGGGGCUCGAAGGGUUACUUGGGUGGCCGCAAAGGGGACUGGUAAUGGAAUAGGGAGGUCCAAGAAAAAGUGGAAGCUAAGAAAGCGGCGUAUUUGAAGCUAGUGGGGAGCACGGACGAAGAAGAGCGGAGGUCCUAUAGGGAGUGUUACAAGAAGGCAAGGAGAGAGGUGAAGCUCGCGGUCACGGCGGCUAAGACUGUAACUUUUGAAAGAUUGUAUGAGGAUCUUGGGGGCAAAAGAGGGGAUAGGAAGCUGUACAAGUUAGCCAAGAUUAGGAAGAUGGAGGCUUGGGACCUGGAUCGAGUGAGGUGCAUCAAAGACGAACACGGUAAGGUAUUGGUGGAAGAGGCGUGUAUCAAGCGUAGAUGGCAGGAAUACUUCCAUAGACUCUUGAACGACGAAGGGGAUAGGAACAUCAUGCUGGGUAAGUUGGAGAACUCAGAGAGUCGAAGAGAUUUUGGGUUUUGUAGGCGUAUUAAGUGUGAGGAGGUUGAGGUGGUAAUACGGAAGAUGAGCAGGGGUAAGGCGACUGAGCCUGACGAGAUCCCGAUGGAAAUUUGGAAAGAAGCGGGUAGGGUAGUCUUGGAGUGGCUUACUAGUUUAACGUCAUUUUCAAGACGAAUAAGAUGCCCGAAGAUUGGAGGUGGAGUUUAAAAAUUCCGUUGUACAAAAACUAAGGUGAUAUUCAGAACUGCAACAACUAUAGGGGUAUCAAGCUGUUGAGUCACACUAUGAAGGUUUGGGAGAGGGUGUUGGAGAAGAGAGUGAGGACAGAUGUAUCUAUCUCUGAGAACCAGUUCGGAUUUAUGCCAAGACGGUCAACUACAGAAGCCAUUCACCUUGUGAGACGAUUGGUGGAGCAGUAUAGGGAGAGGAAAAAGGACCUGUACAUGGUGUUCAUUGACCUUGAGAAGGCUUGUGACAAAGUCCCAAUGGAGGUUCUAUGGAGAUAAUUGGAGUUUAGAGGAGCUCCGAUAACGUACAUUAGGGUGAUUAAGGACAUAUAUGAAGGUGCUAGACGCGGGUGAGGACUGCAGGAAGAGACUCAGAACAUUUUGCUGUGGAGAUGGGGUUGCAUCAGGCAUCAGCCCUUAGCCCGUUUUUGUUUGCUCUAGCGUUGGAUGUGCUGACACGACACAUACAAGGGAGGGGGCCAUGGUGUAUGUUAUUUGCUGACGACAUAGUACUGAUUGACGAGACACGAGGGGGUGUUAACGCUAAGUUGGAGGUUUGGAGACAGACGCUGGAGUCCAAAGGUUUCAAGUUGAAUAGAUCAAAAAUUGAAUACUUGGAAUGCAAGUUCAGUGAUGAGAGGCAUGAAAAAAAAGUGGAAGUAAAGGUUGAUACUCAAUCCAUUCCCACAAGAGAUAGUUUUAAGUAUCUUAGGUCCACAAUCCAAGGCAAUGGAGAGAUUCACGAGGAUGUUACUUAUAGUAUUGGAGCAGGUUGGAUGAGAUGGAGGCUAGCUUUAAGGGUUUUAUGCGAUAAGAAUGUGCCACCUAGACUUAAAGGCAAGUUUUACAAGGUGGUGGUUAGACCGGCUAUAUUUUAUGGAGAUGAGUGUUGGCCCGUCAAGAAGUCCCAUGUCCAGAAGAUGAGCGUAGAUGAAAUGAGGAUGUUGAGAUAGAUGUGUGGACAUACAAGGAAAGACAAGAUCAGGAAAGACAAGAUAGGGAAUUGAGGUUGCGUUGGUUUGGGCAUGUGAGAAGGAGAGAUAUAGAUACCCCGGUUAGCAGGUGUGAGAGGUUGACCAUGGCAGGCUUGAAGAAGGGCAGGGGUAGUCCAAAUAAGUAUUGGGGAGAGUUGAUUAGGCAGGACAUGUCUGUACUUCACCUAACCGAGGACAUGACUAGCGAUAAGAAGAUGUGGAGAUCGAGGAUUAAGGUGGUGGGUUGACAGGUAGUUGUGAGUUUCUCCUAGGUUUACCAGUAGUACUAGUAUUAUUCUUGUUGUUGGUUGAAAGUUACUUCCUUCUAGUUUGUUAUUAUAUCUGGUACUUAGCAACCACAUCUAUUAUUUUUGAAAAUUGCUACUAGAAAUAGUUGCUCCCUGAUUAUUACUAUUUGAUGCUACUCUUUCUUCCUUUUAUUGGAAAUUGUUACUCCCUGAUUGUUACUAUCCGAUGCUACUUUUUCUCCUCUUUUUUCUUAUCGUCUUUUGUCUCCCUCUUUCUCCCCCCUCCCCCCCUCCCUUUUCUUCCUUGACAUCUUUUCUUGAGCCGAGGGUCUAUCGAAAAUAACCUUUCUACCUCUCCAAGUAGGGGUAAGGUCUGUGUACACACUACCCUACCUAGAUCCCCCGCCCCCACCUAUGAAAUUAUACUGUGUAUGUUGUUGUUGUUGUUGUUAUGUAAUUGUAGAUUUUGUGUUUGCAAAGGUGAAGAAGUGUUUGAUUAAAGGGUAAUGGACAUACCUUUGUAUGCCGAGACAAUCAAACAUAUUUUUUUUAAUAAAAAUUCUUUCUUUGUUAUCCUUUUUAUUAUUACUAAAAUAAUUUAAUCUUGUAGAGUUAAUUAAUUUUAAUUUCAUGACAAGAUAUAAAUCUAUAAUCUAAGUAGGAAACUAUAACUAAUUCGUUGACACACCUUUGAUUUUAUUAUUGUUAGUUAAAUAUUUUAUAGCCGAUCAUAAAUUUAAAACCAAUUACUUAAAUUAAAUUAAAUUAAAUUAUCUUAGUAAAAGUAAAAAUAAAAUAAAAUGACUUUUUUGUGAAAAAUUAUGUUUGAUUCUCUAGGUAUUCAAUAGUAUGUCCAUUACCCUUUAAUUAAAUAUAUCUUCUAUAAAUUUUAUGUACCAAAAUAAAAAAACACAUUCUAAUAAAUACUACUACUAAUUAUCAUUCACUAUUAUGAUAUUCUUUAACUCAAUAUCAAAUGUUAGAAAUACUUUCAAAAUGGUAUUUAACAAUUGCACGUUAGAUAUACACAAUUUAAUAGUGUUAUUAUAAUUUUUAAAAAUUUUAUACUUUUUGAUAUGGGAUACACGUGCAAAGCGCGUAUCCUAAAACUAGCCUCAAUUGAAUAUGCCGAUUCACAACUUUUUGACACAUUAUUUCAUAGUUCUUUUGUUUAUUAAUAGUAGGAUACCAUAUUCUUCUUGUUCACUAAAUAUACCAUACCAAUUUGAACAUGUAACUACACUCUAAAUAUAAAACACCAAACUAGGAAACCAUUCAUCAAACACCAAAAACUAUAAGAUAUAGAUCAUAUAUCAUAUUCUUGUUGUUCACUAAAUAUACUAUACCAAUUUGAACACAGAACUAAACUCUAAGUAUAAAGCACCAAAAUAGGAAACCAUUCAUCAAAAUCAGUUAUCAACCACCCAAAAACUAAGAUAUAGAGCUAGGAAUUUCAUCGAAAACUAACAACCUCCUCAUCCUUAUGGAUUUGGUUUUGCCUCAUCCUUCUUCAAGUAAGCUUCCUUUGCCUUCUCCUCAUCCUCCCUUAUGGGUUUGACCCAUACGUUUUAAGAUACUAUAUAAUAUCAAUUGAACCAUAAGUGAUUCAAGAUCCAAUCAGGGCAAUUCUUUUCUUUUGAUUGGAGGGUUCAAAUUAAAAAGAACAUUUGAUAAAAGAUUUUCAAAGAUUCAAUUUUUAUCCAAAAGUUGAAUUCCCAAAUUGGAAAUUCACAGAGGCUGGAAAUCGCCUCACCAUUGAACCAUUAUUUCUACUUCACCUCAGAAUAGCCAAACCACUUCGCCUCCACCAAACAAGUGGCUUAUAUCUAUUACACUAGUUGUUGGUCUAUUCGUUGGAGGCGAAACAAAACCACUAAUCUGACUAUUUUUGGCCGGCCAAAAGUGUUUUUGGCAAAAAAAAAAAAAAAAAAAUUGGCCCCAAAAAAAAGAACGAACAACCAUGAAACACGGGAGGUGUCUAAUACCAUCUUCCGGUCAAAAGAAUUUCUUAUCCGGUCUUCUAUUUUUGCAUAUCAAAAUCAAGAGUCAACAGUAUAAUAUUUGCAAUCUCCAUUUAAUAAUAUUAGUAUUCAUAAGGGGGUAUAUUAUAUCAAUUUGAUGAUUCGUGUAUACUAGAAAAAAAAAAUAGGGCAAGGAAUACAGUUGUUUUCUAGCUAUAAACUACAUAAAAUAAUGCUAUUCUUCGAUUUUCUGAUAAGUAUAUAUUAUAUAUAUUUUUAGGUAUAUAUUAUAUUAAAUAAACAAAUACUCUAUUUAUGGAUAUGACUUUUUGUUCAAUGUUUGUACAAAUUAUUAAUAUAUAUUGCAGGAAAAGAAAAGUAAAAGAGAAGAAAGAAGAGUGUUCAAGCAUAGACAUAAAAAAGGCCAAAGAUGGCAUCCCCAAUCCAAGGAUGUCAUCCUCAAUUCUAAGGAUGUCAUCCGUGGGAAAGAGGCACGUGGAAGAAAUUAAUUCAAGAGUUAGGGACGUCAUCCUCAAUCCAAGGAUGACAUCCCUAAGAAUUUUAGGGGCAUAAUUUCUUAUUAAUAGACAUGACUUUUAUGUGGAAAAGGAGAACCCUUCUUGUGCAAAGGACUCCAACUUUAAUAUUGUCUUCGUUUUAGUUUUAAAAGUUAUUUAUUUAUCCUAGGAAUAAUAUUUUUUCUCCUUUAUCUUUUCUCCGUAAUAGAGUAAUUUUCUUUGGUUGGGAUAUUAAAUGAAGCUAUAAAAGUGUUAUAAU